GAUGAAGAACGCAGCGAAAUGCGAUAAGUAGUGUGAAUUGCAGAAUUCAGUGAAUCAUCGAAUCUUUGAACGCACAUUGCGCCCCUCGGUAUUCCGUGGGGCAUGCCUGUUCGAGCGUCAUCUACACCCUCAAGCCCUGCUUGGUGUUGGGUGCCUGUCCCGCCCCGCGCGGCGACUCACCCCAAAUGCAUUGGCGGCGGCGCCUUGCCCCUCCCGCGCAGCACAUUGCGCUUCUCGAGGCGGCGGGACCGCGUCCACGAAGCCGACAACCCGUCUUUGACCUCGGAUCAGGUAGGGAUACCCGCUGAACUUAAGCAUAUCAAUAAGCGGUGGA
rnacentral:misc_RNA from 1 species